UCAGAUCAAAACAUUCCUCUUUUCUUCUCAUUCUGGCCGAGCUGCAGCUGAGGCAAAACAUCUUCAAAUUUCACAAACUUCACCUCAAAAAUCUUGCUCAAACCUCCAUAGAUUCACACCAAAUUUCACAUACACUUAGCUCUACACUUGGACAACACUUUGAGCUGUAAAAGGGAGGAGCUUUCACGGUUUUCUUCAGGCUUCAAAGGGACCGAAAAUUCUGUUUAGACAAACCAUCAAAGUAGGCACGCACGAGGACCUCCAAGAGGACCCUACCGUGGAAGUUUGAACUCUCCCUCCAACCUACUUGCUUGCAUAACUGGUUUGAACUCGGAGGUAAAAUGAAAAAGCCCUCUUGAUGUACUUUUGUUUAGGGCUUGUUAUUACUUUUGGUUAUGCCUUUGGUUUUGGAAUUGUACUUUUGGUAUGGAAAUGUGACCCUGAGAACUGUCACAGUUGGUAUCAGAGCCAUAUGCCGACAGUUGGGACCUUAAGUCCUUCGUCUGGAAAAGCCCCGAGCCUCUCGUUCGUGAAGAGUCACGAAGCGAAACUCUCCGUAGGGGAUGCCCGCGUGCGGGUGGCAAGCUGAUAGGUACCCCGUGAUGUGACCCUUUGGACGAAAUGUAAUCUGUAUUCUGACGUGUGGUUUGGAGAAUGGAUGACUAUUAUUAAGUUUGAAUACUUCCGCAUUUAUUGUAUCUAAGUUAUUGGCUUGUGUUGUGUGAUCCGACUAUAAGUUGAAUGGAAUUGUUUGAGUCCUGGCGAGAGCUAGGCAGGCGUCCCGCGAAUACCCUUUGGUUCGCCUUAGGGAGAAGUGGGGCGUCACAGUUCUCCUUCUCUGGAGAAACUGAGGCGGCAUUAUCACAUUGAUUACGGAACGGGGAAGAAGAGAUCAAAGAAAAAUCUAGAGAAAUUGAAUGAGUGCAGUCAUUGUGGCAAUCUGUUUGACAAAUCACGGCUGGAUUCUCACGCCUGUAACCGUCAACUUAAGCUUGGAGGAGUUUCAUUUGAUCCCUCCUACUAUGGACACAAUGAAGAUGAUACCUUAAAGGCUUCAAACCGAAGCCCAAGGGACAAGCACAAGUCAAAGUCAAAGUCCAAGCCUCCAAGCCCCCAAGCCCAAAGCUAGAGCCACAGGAGGUCUAACUAGGAUUCUUACUGAUAGACUCUAGAGAUAUUAUGUGUUGGCUGAUAGGCUCUUAUCUCUAGGAGUAGAUUAGGAGUGGCUGAUAUUUUGUGUGAACUAUUUAGUACAUGUUAUCUGAUUGCACUACGCUCCCAAA